rnacentral:rRNA from 1 species
UACGUAGGUGGCAAGCGUUGUCCGGAAUACUGGGCGUAAAGCGCACGCAGGCGGUCUGUCAAGUCGGAUGUGAAAUCCCCGGGCUCAACCUGGGAACUGCAUUCGAAACUGGCAGGCUAGAGUCUUGUAGAGGGGGGUAGAAUUCCAGGUGUAGCGGUGAAAUGCGUAGAGAUCUGGAGGAAUACCGGUGGCGAAGGCGGGUCUCUGGGCAGUAACUGACGCUGAGGAGCGAAAGCGUGGGGAGCGAACAGG